rnacentral:rRNA from 1 species
ACACUCCUGCGGGAGGCAGCAGUGGGGAAUAUUGCACAAUGGGCGCAAGCCUGAUGCAGCGACGCCGCGUGGGGGAUGAAGGCCUUCGGGUUGUAAACUCCUUUCGCUAGGGACGAAGCUUUUUUGUGACGGUACCUAGAUAAGAAGCACCGGCUAACUACGUGCCAGCAGCCGCGGUAAUACGUAGGGUGCGAGCGUUGUCCGGAAUUACUGGGCGUAAAGGGCUCGUAGGUGGUUUGUCGCGUCGUCUGUGAAAUUCUGGGGCUUAACUCCGGGCGUGCAGGCGAUACGGGCAUAACUGGAGUGCUGUAGGGGUAACUGGAAUUCCUGGUGUAGCGGUGAAAUGCGCAGAUAUCAGGAGGAACACCGAUGGCGAAGGCAGGUUACUGGGCAGUUACUGACGCUGAGGAGCGAAAGCAUGGGUAGCGAACAGGAUUAGAUACCCCGGUAGUCCC